rnacentral:rRNA from 1 species
GACAGAGGCCUCGAGCGUUAGGCGGAAUCACUGGGCUUAAAGCGUGUGUAGGCGGGCCCGUAAGUGUCUUGUGAAAUCCCACGGCUCAACCGUGGAACUGCUGGGCAUACUGCGGGUCUUGGGCCAACUAGGGGCAGCCGGAACAAGCGGUGGAGCGGUGAAAUGCGUAGAUAUCGCUUGGAACGCCGAAGGUGAAAACAGGCUGCUGGGGUUGCGCCGACGCUGAGACACGAAAGCGUGGGGAGCAAACAGG